AACGAACGCUGGCGGUAUGCCUAACUCAUGCAAGUCGAACGAGAUCUUCGGGUCUAGUGGCGCACGGGUGCGUAACGCGUGGGAAUCUGCCCUUUGGUUCGGAAUAACAGUUGGAAACGACUGCUAAUACCGGAUGAUGACGAAAGUCCAAAGAUUUAUCGCCAGAGGAGGAGCCCGCGUAGGAUUAGCUAGUUGGUGUGGUAAAGGCGCACCAAGGCGACGAUCCUUAGCUGGUCUGAGAGGAUGAUCAGCCACACUGGGACUGAGACACGGCCCAGACUCCUACGGGAGGCAGCAGUGGGGAAUAUUGAACAAUGGGCGAAAGCCUGAUCCAGCAAUGCCGCGUGAGUGAUGAAGGCCUUAGGGUUGUAAAGCUCUUUUACCCGGGAUGAUAAUGACAGUACCGGGAGAAUAAGCUCCGGCUAACUCCGUGCCAGCCGCCGCGGUAA
rnacentral:rRNA from 1 species